GACGAACGCUGGCGGCGUGCUUAACACAUGCAAGUCGAACGGAAAGGCCCUGCUUUUGUGGGGUGCUCGAGUGGCGAACGGGUGAGUAACACGUGAGUCACCUUCCCUUGACUUUGUGAUAACUUCAGGAAACUGGGGCUAAUACCUGCUAGGAGCUCCUGCUGCAUGGUGGGGGUUGGACAGUUUCGGCGGUUGGGGAUGGACUCGCGGCUUAUCAGCUUGUUGGUGGGGUAGUGGCUUACCAAGGCUUUGACGGGUAGCCGGCCUGAGAGGGUGACCGGCCACAUUGGGACUGAGAGACGGAGCAGAGUCCUACGGGAGGCAGCAGGGGAGAAUAUUGCACAAUGGGCGGAAGCGUGAUGAAGCAACGUCGCGUGCGGGAUGACGGCCUUCGGGUUGUAAACCGCUUUCGCCUGUGACGAAGCGUGAGUGACGGUAAUGGGUAAAGAAGCACCGGCUAACUACGUG
rnacentral:rRNA from 1 species